UUGUUUGGAUUGGGAUUGGGAUUGGGAUUGGGAUCGGGAUCGAGAUAAAUAAGAAUAAUGUUUCUACGAAUUAACAGAAAGAAAACAAUGACGCGUCGCACUACUUGUACUUGCGUUGUCUGCGGUACAACUCUCCGAUGCUGCCGCUAUUCUCAAAUUUCAGUCAUACUCCUCAUUCGCUUCUCGCUGACACUGACCCGCCGAUGAAUAAAAUUACCGGAGUUAUGCGUCGUUGGAUACCUACCUACCUACCUACUCCUCUGCUCGAUUGGGGAAAUGCCAAUUUAGGACCGCCAGUUAGAGUUCCGCUUCGUCUCUUCUCCUCUGCAUUUCACUGAAAAUGGCGGAGUUCACCGAAUAAAUGGACCAACGGCGCCGGCACCGAUUCAGACGAUGGGUUCGAUUUAGAUAGGAUGAGAAGGUUGCUAUACAACCUGGGCAAUCCUCACUACAAAUUCAAGGUUGGUUGGGUAACCAAAUUUAUAGAUGCUCCAACAUGUGGGGCCACUUGUUGUACUGCUACUGCUGCCUGGAGUCUACUCUUAUCCAUUCUGAUCUUUGCCAUUGCUAAUGGUUGUUUGGCAUAUUUGCAUUAAAGAAAGAAAAAAAAAUGUCGAGGAUGGAUGCUGCUAGAGAUAAUGAUGGAAAGAAAAAGAGGAAAUUGUUUCAGUAUCUUGGAACUUGCGCGCAAACAUCUUCCUUGCUGUCUGCAUAUUCAAAUGAAAGCAAUUUUACUCAUGAGACAAGGUUUGCUUUUUCUCAUUCCACCAUGCCGAACAUGCAGAAGCAAACUGUAUAAUAUAUAUUGUCUCAUCAACUGUCAAUUACCUCUAAAGAUCAUGUGGUCCUCGGGAGUUCGCUCGGGUUAUUCAAUAAGGGCAGCAGAAACUACAUUUCAUGUCUACUUCCAAGAUGCCUUUAUUCAAUAAGGGCAGCAGAAGUUGCUAUUUAUUUUUGUCCUAUGUGCAUGACAAAAUAAAUUCUAGUUGCCUAGUCCUGUAAUGUAAGUAUGUAACACA